CAGUAGCCGCGGUAAUACGUAGGGUGCAAGCGUUAAUCGGAAUUACUGGGCGUAAAGCGUGCGUAGGCGGUGAGUUAAGUCUGCUGUGAAAUCCCCGGGCUCAACCUGGGAAUGGCAGUGGAUACUGGCUCGCUAGAGUGUGUCAGAGGAUGGUGGAAUUCCCGGUGUAGCGGUGAAAUGCGUAGAGAUCGGGAGGAACAUCAGUGGCGAAGGCGGCCAUCUGGGACAACACUGACGCUGAGGCACGAAAGCGUGGGGAGCAAACAGGAUUAGAUACCCCAGUAGUCCCUGUCUCUUAUAC
rnacentral:rRNA from 1 species